rnacentral:rRNA from 1 species
CGCUAGUCAUCCUACGGGAGGCAGUCAGUGGGGAAUAUUGCACAAUGGGGGAAACCCUGAUGCAGCCAUGCCGCGUGUGUUGAAGAAGGCCUUUCGGGUUGUAAAGCACUUUCAGUAGGGAGAAGGUAGUGUAGUUAACACCUGCACUAUUUGACGUUACCUACAGAAGAAGCACCGGCUAACUCCGUGCCAGCAGCCGCGGUAAUACGGAGGGUGCGAGCGUUAAUCGGAAUUACUGGGCGUAAAGCGCAUGCAGGCGGCCUGUUAAGUCAGAUGUGAAAGCCCGGGGCUUAACCUCGGAAUUGCAUUUGAAACUGGCAGGCUAGAGUCUUGUAGAGGGGGUAGAAUUUCAGGUGUAGCGGUGAAAUGCGUAGAGAUCUGAAGGAAUACCAGUGGCGAAGGCGGCCCCCUGGACAAAGACUGACGCUCAGAUGCGAAAGCGUGGGGAGCAAACAGGAUUAGAUACCCUGGUAG